rnacentral:rRNA from 1 species
AUGAACGCUGGCGGCGUGCCUAAUACCUGCAAGUCGCGCGAACAGACGAGGAGCUUGCUCCUCUGACGUUAGCGGCGGACGGGUGAGUAACACGUGGAUAACCUACCUAUAAGACUGGGAUAACUUCGGGAAACCGGAGCUAAUACCGGAUAAUAUAUUGAACCGCAUGGUUCAAUAGUGAAAGACGGUUUUGCUGUCACUUAUAGAUGGAUCCGCGCCGCAUUAGCUAGUUGGUAAGGUAACGGCUUACCAAGGCAACGAUGCGUAGCCGACCUGAGAGGGUGAUCGGCCACACUGGAACUGAGACACGGUCCAGACUCCUACGGGAGGCAGCAGUAGGGAAUCUUCCGCAAUGGGCGAAAGCUUGACGGAGCAACGCCGCGUGAGUGAUGAAGGUCUUCGGAUCGUAAAACUCUGUUAUUAGGGAAGAACAAAUGUGUAAGUAACUAUGCACGUCUUGACGGUACCUAAUCAGAAAGCCACGGCUAACUACGUG